rnacentral:tRNA from 1 species
GGAGGCAUGAGUCAAAUAGUAGAGUACUUGCCUAACAAGCAAGCAUGCAAUCCUGAGUUUAAAUCUCAGUACUACCU